UUUUCCUUUUUUUUUUUUUUUUUUUUUUCCCUUUUUGCGUCAGCAACCCCUGCAACAAUCCAGGCCUUUCACUUGGUUUAAAUUGGGUUAUUCAGCGCUAAUGUUAUGCAAGGCUCCUGGUUAGUGGUGUGGAGUUCGAGUUGGGAGACUACUGGAGUUGCGAUGGAAUUAAGAUCUGAGGGUGGUGGAUGUUUCAUCCACGCUGUUUGAAGACUUCUUGCAACCGCAGGACAGAGAUGGACCAGUAAUCCACCAGAUAAUCCUCUCAGUACUUUAUUUCAACCCAGCUCUUGAAGGUCCUGGUGGCCAACAGCUUGACCAAAGGUUGACUGUGAGCCAGCAGUGUGCCCUGGUGGCCAAGAAGGCCAAUGGGACCCCGGGGUGCAUUGCACAGAGCGUGGUCAGUAGGUCCCAGUGCUGGGCUCCCCAGUUCCAGGCAGACUGGGAACUGCUGGAGAGAGCCCAGCGGAGGGUACAGAGAUGGUGGGGGCCUGGAGCACCUCCUGAUGGGGACAGGCUGAGAGCGCCAGGCACCUGGAGGAGAAAAGGCUGAGAGAGGGGAUCUAAUCAAUAACAAACGCUUUCAGAGCUUGGCUUCUCGUUUUUCCUUGACUUCUUAUUCUCAGUAUAAAUCAACUGAAACGUUUUCUGGUUUCUCCGCAGCAGAUGCAGCACAAAAUGACCACAAAUGAGUCACUGGGCUGUCUGAACAUGCAAAGCAUUUUGAGCCGAUGUUCCUCGUGAUGCGGCUUCCCCACCGCGUUCUCUGUUGCCUCACCUUUCUGCAGGGAGAUGUUAGCUACUGGCAUGGGGAUUGCAAAGUGCCAGGAGCAGCUGCUCACGUGGGAGAUGGCAAGCUGUAUUUGGGACCUUAAAUUCAUGCAAUCAUAAAGGUUGGAACAGACCUCUAGGGUCAUCAAGUCUGACCGCCUGCCCAUCCCCACCAUGCCCACUAAGACGAGGCAUGGGGAAGGACUGGAGCUGUGGCAGCAAUGCUCAGGCUGAUUCAAGACAUGGUUUGGGGGUGGGAUUUGGGGUUAUUCUACCUCAAAUCACCCAGUGGCAACAUUGUGUGGGUGCAGACAGCUGCCAAGCCCAGGCAGAAUGUUGGUCUUCUCAUCCUGUGAGGAUUCUCAGCUGCUCUUUCUCUUUGGGAUUUGUUUGUUCUGUGCUUUCUGCCCUUUAUCUUUGGUUUGAAGGAACAGCGAGUCACUAAUUGUGGUGGUGGUAAAAGAGAAGUUCCCAGAGCAGUGUGAGUGUUCCAUCUGUGGAGCUGCCCAUGGCCAUGGACAGGCCCUGGGCAGCCUGAGCUGGUAGGGGGCACCCAGCCCAUGAAAGGAGUGGGCCUGGGGGGCUCUGGUGUCCCUUCCCACUCAACUGUGCUGGGAUUCUAUAUCUUGAAGGUCCCUUCCAUCCCAACCAUUCUGGGAUUCUGUGAUCUUGAAAGACCCUUCCAACCCAACCGUUCUAUGCUUCUGUAGGGAUGCCUGUUCAGUCUUGUUACUGAAAUAUUGUAGGGCAGGGAGGCAGCCUUCUCCCAGCCAUACACUCAUAACCACAGAGGGGUGCCAAGCAGAAUUUAGGAUCCCCCAAACAAGUUCAAGUGCCCUUCAAAACGUCUUUGAGGAAUUUGUCCUCCAUCUUCAUCCAGGACAUGAAAGGCAUGGCACUGUCAUUAGGAUCAGACGAACUCUGCUCUUUUGGUGAUUUCUCUUUUUCUAUGGCAUUCUUGGUGUAGAAAUCACUUCUUUCUCUUUGCAGGUGUAGAAGGAGAGUGGCAUGCCAGUCUUGGUGUUGGGUUGGGAUGGACGCUGCUGCAUCCUCCCUUCUUUCUUGGAGUUGGUUUAGUGCCAUUCCCCAUGCAGGUCCUUGGCACUUCCCCGUGUUGUAAUGGAAAACGAAUUAAAACCCAUUCCUUUCCGUGAGGAUGGCGCUGCCUCUUGGGCAAAUCCGUUUCUGAAUUGUCUGAAAGGAUCAGAAAAGUGUUCUGGGUGAACACCAGCUUUAAAUGCUGGCUGUUCCUUUUCAUAUCCCUUUUGCUGCUCUCCUUUCCCAUAGGCACAGCCGUCCUUGUCUGAUUUCUGAGCGUCUGAACGCACGUGCAGCCCCCAAGCCCUCACGUUUCCUUCCCUUUAGUCAGCUUUUGAGCAACUCUGAACAGAGGGAAAGCAGAGAACGUGCUUUAAAGACAAACAGGAGAGGACGAGAGCUGAGCCACCUACCAGGCACCUCACAAUGCAUCAGGCAGAGCCUCAAUUACCAUCGUGAGGGUUUUGCUCCCUCAUUCAUCUCACCGAUCCGCACCUUUUGUUUUCCCUCCACGUAAAAUACAUUCAGGUCCUCACCCACCCCCGUCUGCAGAGCGGAUCAUGGAGGUACACAACUGAGAAGAGUGUGCUGCCAGCUCCGGGUGUCUGACAAACGUCCAUUUCUCUUUUCUUCCUGGAAGUCUUUGCUUCAGCGUAAAGGCUGCGUGCUGUGAUAACGCAGAAGCGGACAGUGUUGGGUUUUAGCUAUUUCAGUUAUUUAACUGCAGAGUUAUUCUUCAUGUGAACUGCUUUGGGAAACCACAGCUGUGUAAUUCAGGGGAUGGUGUCGUGAGCCUUAAAGGGGCGGUGCUGGAAGGCUUCAAGCCUUGGGUUUUUCUCAUCGGUGUCAAAGAAUUGCUGAAACCCAAACGCAAGCCAUUCUGUGGUUCGGCCAUCUUUAAAGUCCCUUCCAACCCAACUGUUCUGUGCUUCUGUAAUCCUACAGACCCCACUCUGUACAACCCCGUGGUGCAAAAGGCAAGAAGUGUUUCCUUGGGAAAGAGCUGCAAACAAACCCGACAGACGUUUAGAGAAAUCCAGCCCCCGUUAUUGGCAGGCACGCUGCCACUACGAUAAAUGCUGUGAGAUUUGUGCCCAGGGUGUGAAUGACUCACUUAACACUUGAUAUGUUGCUGCUCACAGUCUGUGCUUUGUGGGAUUUCCAGGUUUCUGGAGGUGUGAGGCGUGCGCUGGCUGUGGUGCAUCACAAGAGCCGCCCCUCGAGGCUCUCCUCCGGCUGAAACCGUAACGCCGGGAGUGAUGGAGCUCGGAUCUUACUCUCUGCGCUCUGCUAAGGAGCAGGGAUGGAGUUAGAAGUUUGCGGGGCUACGGAUGCUUCUUCCUGCUGUGCCCUCAGUACUGCUAGCUGCAGUAUUUGGGUUGUGUAAGGGAGCUUGUCCGAGCCCAUAGAUGCAUAGGGCCUUCCCACACUGUGCUGGUUUUCCAAUUCAGCCAUCCAUCGGUUUCAUCCAUGAAUCAGAGAAUCACAGAAUAGUUGGGCUGGGAGGGUCCUUCAAGGUCAUGGAAUGGUUGGGAUGGAAGGGUCCUUCAGGGUCACAGAAUGGUUGGGUUGGAAGAGUCCUUCAAGGUCAUGGAAUGGUUGGGUUGGAAGGGUCCUUCAGGAUCACAGAAUUGCUGAAUGGUUGGGUUGGAGGGGUCCUUCAAGAUCACAGAGCUGCUGAAUGGUUGGGUUGGAAGGAUCCUUCAAGAUCACAGAGCUGCUGAAUGGUUGGGUUGGAAGGGUCCUUCAAGAUCACAGAGCUGCUGAAUGGCUGGGCUGGAAGGGUCCUUCAAGAUCACAGGGCUGCUGAAUGGUUGGGUUGGAAGGGUUCUUAUGCCCAGGUUGGCCCCGUCCAGCCUGAAUGCAGAUCACUUUUGGGAUCACCAAAACAAAGAGUGAUCAUCAGUGCUUAUUCAUUAACUUUGAAAUCUGCUCAUGGUACUUCGCAGUUUUCAUGGUGGUGGUUGACAAAAACAUCUUUUGGAGGCUGAGCCCAGGGUAGGAAUCUCUUUGGUGCAGUAGGUCUCCAUGAGGUGGUUGCAGGCUGCUCUGAAGAGGCUGUAGGUCACCGUGAGGUGGUUGAAGGCUGCUAUGAAGAGGUUGUAGGUCAUUGUGAGAUGGCUGUUGGUCACUGUGAAGUAGUUGUAGGUCACUCUGAGAUGGUUGUAGGCUGCUAUGAAGAGGCUGUAGGUCACCAUGAGGCAACUGUAGGCUGCCGUGAGGUGGCUGUAGGUAAAUGGUGUCCUUCCCCGUGUGGCCUAUAUCCAGUUUUUCCAAGAGACAUCAGAUUUUUUUUUUUUUUUUAACUCUUGUUCAGUAUUGCCUGCUGUAGAUUUCAGCACCGCCCUCUGCCACCAAAAUCUGUCGGUUUGGGGUUUCUGAUGCUUGGAAAAAAAAAGACAAUCUUUGGUUUUAAUCUUUGGUUCACAGAGAGAGUGAAAUGUGCUCAUUAUUAUUUGCCCAUUCCAAGCACAGUCUGGAUUUGAUGCUUGGUCUGAAUUGGAAGUGACAGCGUACAUUUCUGAAAUCCAUUUUAGUGUUUAAUGCUCUGUUGCAAAAAAAAAAGAAAAAAGAAAAAAAACAUAAUUACAGGUAAUGCUAUGCCCAUUGGCUUCGGUAACUCUUGUCUCGAAGGCAGCGCUCCCAGACUUUGUGUUGGGUCUUCUGCUGUUUUUAUGGCCCAACCGCUGCAGUUGUGAUCUCGGAUAGCAGCCUUGCUCUCUGCUGAACGUUUGAAAAAGUGCUGAUUAGCAGAAAAGGGCUUUUAAUUGUGUGGUUGAUGGGCUGAAAUAUGGUGGGGGGUGAUCUCUUCGUCCCAUGCCCUGUGAUAAAUUUGCCAUCUCCUGGUUUGAAGACUGGAGAAGGGUCAUCUUUUGGUGUUCCUUCUCAUUUUCACUUUUGUGAAAUCCCUUAAAAAGACACAGUGAUGCUCUUAAAUAGAACUCGAGAGAUCGGGGGAAGGACAUUUGGGUUGAGGAGUAAUUUUUUUAAGCAGUUUGGAACAGAGCUGCUUUAUUUCUUGGAGGCUUUCUCGGAGGGGGAUGACGCACGUCUGAACUCUGCACCGAAAAUGACAUUGGCCUCCAUUCAUGUUGCAACAAGCGCUGCUGUCUGGCUGCCAUUGGAUUGCACUUCAGAGCAAGGUCUGCCUCAAAUAACAGGUCUGAACAGAUCGAUAUCUGACCCAACACCCACACAUCAGUGCUGUGUUCCUCCAACGCGACGCCGAGGCCGUUCCUGACCCCGUGGGGCACUUGGAUCCAGUGAUGGGCACGCGGAGCCUGCAGCCGUUUCAAGUUGAUUGGACACGCCACGGGUUUAAUUGCGAUACUCUGAUGUGCACGAUUAAACACGCUUAACCCUUGGGUGGAUGAACA